AGGUGGAGGGACAAAAGUGCCAGAAAUAGAGCCAAAUGUGACUGAUGCCUAGAUUUUAUGUCCUAUAUAACACAACCCUUAAAUUUCACCUGCUGCCCUCUACCUUUUUGACAAAUGGCAGAUUUCCCUGAGGUGAUGCAGUCUUAAAGACCCAAAGAGCUGGAAAAAUACCUUGGAUACCUGUGAUCUUGUUUGUGAUAGAGGAAGGAUUCCAGGGACAGCAUGACCAAAAGAGGAGGACAGGACGAAGAUGGUUGAAAGGAGUGAGAGUAUUCAGAGGGCAAAUUCAUUAGGAGCAUAUCAUGUGAGAUGCUGCUAUAGUUGGAAAGGAAAGAUAAUCUAAUUAAUCUAAUUCCUUGAUAGAAAUCACACCAAACACUGGGGGAAGAGGACAAACAUCCUGUCUCAAAAUUUCAUUCCACCCAUGCUGCCCCCCAAGUGCUGGAGAAGUCGCU
rnacentral:lncRNA from 1 species